AGGAAAGAUUCCUUCCCUGAAGCUGUUCUCAAUGUCAAGGUGGGUGAAAAUAUCUUCAAACACCCAAACAAUUCUAGUGUCACCUAGAUGCAGGAAGCCUGAGAGUCCUCCUAGGAUUCAGUGUCCAUUCUUGAGUGUGAGAGGCUGCACCUGGGCCACCACACCCAGCCUAGGCACCCAGGUCCCUCUGUCCCUUCAGCACCCAGGGACGGUCCCCAGCCUGGCUCCAGCUUAGAGGGGUGGCUCCAGGGAGGCUGGUGUCCUUUCAGCUGGACAUAAACGCUGUGUCUAAAAACAAACGACUUCUAGGGCAGAGGGCAGGGAAGUGGUUCCAGCAGGGUGUUUGGGCAGCACGCCGGCCAUUCAAUCAGACCCACGGGGCUGUGAGGGGAGCGGCAGAGAAUCAAUCAUGGGCCGUGUGUGUUUGCAAAAGGACGUGUGUGGCAGUGACAGCAGCGGGAGCCCCGGGGGAGGCCCCCCGGGGACACGUGUCCACCACCUGGGCUCCCGUGCCCGCUGAGCUCUGGGAGGCAGUGGCUGCUAAAAUACAGAUUCCUAGGCCCCAGACCAUCAUCCUGAAGCCAAAUUGCCAGAGUCAGGCCCAGGACUCUAGAGUUUCUUUGAGGGUCUCCCAGACACUUCUGGUGAGCAGCCAGGCUUGGAAACUCCUGUGCAGCCCACCCAGCCCCAGGAGAAAAAGGAGAGAGAUUUGGAUACAGUGACACAGACUCUCAAGGAGAAGGCCCUAUGACCACAGAGACAGAGACUGGAGUGACGCAUCUAGAAGCCAAGGACCACCAAGGAUCGCAGAAACCAUGAGAAGCUGAAAUAGACAGGCAAGGAUUCUCCCCUAGAAACUUCAGAGAGAGCAUAGCCCUGUGGACAUCUUGAUUUUGGACUUCGAGCCUCCAGAACCAUGAGCGAAUAAAUUUCUGUUGUCUUACACCCUUCCAUGUGUGGUAUUUUAUUAUAGCAACCCUAAGAAACCAAUACACCCUCCUACCAUCCUGUUGUUCUAUCCUCUGGUCCAGAGCAGGAGCAAAGGGCAAGUUUCCCUGUGCCCCUUGUAAUUGACCUUUUCAUGCCGUUUCGUCCCCAGGGUCACACGCAUAAGCACGUUACUGAGAAGAUUUAUCCCAAAGCACGUACGGGGCUCCGGCCCGUGCAAACACUUGCCUGCUGGUUUACAGUGAUUUACUCACAGAUUACCCUCUGACGAAGGGGGCCCCAGCCUACGCGCCUCUCUCGUAUAUCAAAAAGGAAAUCCUGA
rnacentral:lncRNA from 1 species